rnacentral:lncRNA from 1 species
UAGGAUAGUUGGAUUUUACCAUGGAUGGUGAACUGAGCCAAGAUUUGAUCCUACAGUCUCUUUCUGACUCCUAUUCUCAGUUUGUUAUUAAUUAUCAUAUGAAUAAACUGAACAUUAGCUUGCCUGAACUGCUAAACAUGUUAAAAACUACAGAGAGCCAUUUCAAAGGUGAAAAGACUCAGGUUUUUCAUGUUGAUAAGAUCAGCAAGA